CCUACGGGUGGCAGCAGUGAGGAAUAUUGGUCAAUGGCCGUAAGGCUGAACCAGCCAAGUAGCGUGAGGGAAGACUGCCCUAUGGGUUGUAAACCUCUUUUAUGCGGGGAUAAAGGUGUCCACGUGUGGAUGUUUGCAGGUACCGCAUGAAUAAGGACCGGCUAAUUCCGUGCCAGCAGCCGCGGUAAUACGGAAGGUCCGGGCGUUAUCCGGAUUUAUUGGGUUUAAAGGGAGCGUAGGCGGGCAUUUAAGCCGGCGGUCAAAUGUCGGGGCUCAACCCCGGCCUGCCGUCGGAACUGGGUGCCUUGAGUGGGCGAGAAGUAUGCGGAAUGCGUGGUGUAGCGGUGAAAUGCUUAGAUAUCACGAAGAACUCCGAUUGCGAAGGCAGCCUACUAAACUGCCACUGACAUUGAUGCUCGAAAGUGUGGGUAUCAAACAGGAUUAGAUACCCCAGUAGUC
rnacentral:rRNA from 1 species